rnacentral:rRNA from 1 species
AACGAACGCUGGCGGCAGGCCUAACACAUGCAAGUCGAGCGUGAAAGGGGCUUCGGCCCUGAGUAAAGCGGCGCACGGGUGAGUAACACGUGAAUAAUCUGCCCCUCCGACCGGGAUAACAGACCGAAAGGACUGCUAAUACCGGAUAAGCCCACAAGUCAACCGGGCGUGCGGGAAAAGUACGGGAUCCUUCGGGACCGUAUGCGGAAGGAUGAGUUCGCGUUCCAUUAGAUAGUUGGUGAGGUAAUGGCCCACCAAGUCGACGAUGGAUAGCUGGUCUGAGAGGAUGAUCAGCCACACUGGAACUGAGACACGGUCCAGACUCC